UGGGGAAUAUUGGACAAUGGGCGCAAGCCUGAUCCAGCAAUACCGCGUGUGUGAAGAAGGCCUGAGGGUUGUAAAGCACUUUCAGUGGGGAGGAACAGCCGGGGGCCAAUACCCCCCGGGAUGACAUUACCCACAGAAGAAGCACCGGCUAACUCCGUGCCAGCAGCCGCGGUAAUACGGAGGGUGCGAGCGUUAAUCGGAAUUACUGGGCGUAAAGCGUGCGUAGGCGGCGCGUUAAGUCAGAUGUGAAAGCCCCGGGCUCAACCUGGGAACUGCAUUUGAUACUGGCGCGCUAGAGUUGGGUAGAGGGGGGCGGAAUUUCAGGUGUAGCGGUGAAAUGCGUAGAUAUCUGAAGGAACACCAGUGGCGAAGGCGGCUCCCUGGACCCAAACUGACGCUG
rnacentral:rRNA from 1 species